GCUACUUUAACUAUUGUAACUAAAUCUGCAGGGACCAGAACCAUCACUCCAGUGUAGCAAGCUGUACACAAGAAUAUCUUUGUAAAAGCAAGGGCUAUUUACAAAAUUUUAAACGACUAGAAUUUCCACUUGGCAACAUAUCCUUGGAGGCUGCUUCAAGUUUUCAAGUUCUGUUUGU
rnacentral:lncRNA from 1 species